UUUUCAUUAAUCAAGAACGAAAGUUGGGGGCUCGAAGACGAUCAUAUACCAUCCUAGUCUCAACCAUAAACGAUGCCAACUAGGGAUCAACGGAUGUUGCUCUAAGGAAUCCUCCAUCAACUUAUGAGAAAUCAGAGUGUUUGGGUUCCGGGAGGAGUAUGGUCGCAAGGAUGAAACUUAAAGGAAUUGACGGAAGGGCACCACUAGGAGUGGAUUUUGUGGCUUAAUUUGACUCAACAUGAGAAAAAUUACCAGAUCCAGACAUAGUAAGGAUUGACAGAUUGAGAUCUCUUUCUUGAUUCUAUGGGUGGUGGUACAUGGUCGUUCUUAGUUGGUGGAGCGAUUUGUCUGGUUAAUUUCGAUAAUGAACGAGACCUCAACCUGCUAACUAGCUACGUGGAGGUUCCCCUUCGUAGCCAAUGUCUUAGAGGGAAUAUGGUCGUUUAGGUCAUGGAAGUUUGAGGCAAUGAUAGGUCUGUGAUGCCCUUAGAUGUUCUGGGCCACACGUGCGCUACACUGAUGCAGUCGACGAGUUUUUCUCCCUGGUUUGAGAGGAUCAGGAAAUUAUUGCAUCGUGGUGGGGAUAGACCAUUGAAAUUAGUGGUAUUCAAUGAGGAAUUCCUAGGAAGUGUGUUUCAUCAUCUCAUGUUGACUAUGUCCAUGCCCUUUGUACACACCACCCAUCGCUCCUACCAAUUGAAUGAUCUGAUGAAGUGUUUGGGUCGCGUCAACGAGGGUGGUUCAUCGUCGACGAUGUCGUGAGAAGUUCACUGAACCUUAUCAUUUAGAGGAAGGAUAAGUCGUAACAAGGUUACCGUAGGUGAACCUUCCAAAUAUUUAUGU
rnacentral:ncRNA from 1 species